AUUAAGGUGGCAGACCAGUGCGAUGGAUUUAAGCUCCUUUUAGAGAAAAUAAUAUUAUUUGUUUCUUCUUAAUA
rnacentral:tRNA from 1 species